GACUAUAAUAUAAAAAGAUUAAAAUAAUCAAUUAAAUAAAAAAAACUCCAACAAUUAAUCAUAUUCUAACGACCAUAUUCCAACGGUUAUAUUUUAAAGAAUAAAUAACAUCUAUAAAUAUAAGGUAUAUCUAGUCCUCAUAUUCACUCAUCUCAACUUCAGUCUUCCGAUCAAAUAAGUUAUUUUAAAUAUGUCUCGUCAAUUCGAAUUAGCUAUGUUGCACAUGGAUGAAGAAGAAGAUGAAGAAACAUAUGGACAAUUUUUAGGUAUGACAUCUAUUGAAGAAGAACAACAAAAUGUCAAUAGGCAUACAUCAUGUCAUUGUGGUUCUGUGCAAGGUCGUAUUACCAUUGAUCGUUGUAGACACGAAGAUCAUAAUCGACUUUUUCGUGAUUAUUUUGCUAAAUAUCCUACAUACCCCCGUAUCUAUUUUGGAGAAAAUUUAGAAUGCGGUGUCCACUUUUCCUC
rnacentral:lncRNA from 1 species